CUGAGAUGGCAUAAAAAGGCUGUAAACAUCCUGCAGACGCAUUUUGCUACGACUGCGGCCAAUUUAUCAGGACAAGAGCGAAAAAUUACUCUGUGGAAGCAUCUGCUAAGGUGUGUGCGGCCUACAAGGCAUAUUUCAGCAUGCCUGUUGGGGAUCAAGACAAACCCUGGGCACCUCAUUUCACCUGCAAGAAAUGCAAAAAAAACUCUGGAAGAGCCGCAUGGCUCACAGGGCUCUACCUAAUAGAUGAACUUGAACUUGAGAGAGCUGGGUGGAUUGCGACAUCACCGGGGGCGCGAGGGAUGGCGGUGGCUUGGGGAGGCUUUCAUCCAGCAGUGGAUCGAUCGUGGUUGAUGAUGAUGACGACGACGGCGACGACACUUGCUUGUACACGUGAGGAAUAUCUGCACGACGGCUGGAGACAAACCGCACGCGGACAACCUCUGACGCAUGUGAUGAACCUGUACGGAGACACGCGCUUCGCUGUUGACGCACGCGCACUUUGCCUCGAAAUGACACUUCGUGUUCUCCCCGCCGCAGUGAUUUCGGAUCACUUCUGUUGAUUUACGGUGGCGGUGUUCCGGCUAUCGACGCGUGACGGCGAGUCCCAAGAAUGUUGCGUAAUCGUCACAGACUGCCGGGACGUGGCAUUUUACGUGGGCCUCUGGGGCUGAAAGCAGCUGUCCUAUAGUUCCAACAACAAAACGUCUCAUUUAUAGAGCAGCAGCGUGUGACCUGGUCGAUGACCCACACCUUGUAUUUGUGCACGGUGUUUAUUUGCUCAUGCCGCAUUCGUCAUUGUCGCUUCUGCGGCUCCCAGAGAUGUCAAUGUUCAUGACGCAUUGCUCUAAGUGUUACCGAUGCGACCACCGUCGUCACGUCGGUUUUCCAUAACUCCGUGAUUGUCUUCACAUUUGCAUAGGAUUGUUUUUGUUCUUUGCUGUCUUUUCGGUGACGAGGAAGGUGACCUCAACCGCCUUCCGUCAGCUACACUAAAACACAUUCUUUAAACUGACUACGCAAAUUAUGCCCUCAUAUCAUAAUCGUCGUUGUCUCUUAAGCCAAAAAUAAUUUUGGAAAAAUUAGAUAUAAUGGAUAAUAGAUAUGUAUUUACAAAUGAAGAAGAUUGAUUUUUUUUACAUUAGUCAGGAAAUAAAACGCUUAGAAUGUGUUUCAUGAGCAACGAUAAUCACAUGUGAUGCUACUUAGCAAAACUGACGAUGUCAUUACCGUGGAUCUUACAUCGUGUGACAUAUCACACUGUCGCCGUGAUUAUUGUACAUAGAGUAUUGCAUUUACAUUCCGUAUUUGGCAGAUGAUAUAUUAAAAAAAUGCAUUGUAUGUACGUGCAUGGAAGCUUAGUGUUGCUGUAGUCUGUAUCUUGUAGAAUAUAUCAAUUAUUUAUAUUCCAAAAAAUCGU